GGAUUAUGGCUCAGUGAUAGAGUGCUCGCCUUGCACAUGCAAGCCCCUGGGUUCGAUCCUCAGCACCA
rnacentral:tRNA from 1 species